GUGAGGAAUUUUCCGCAAUGGGCGAAAGCCUGACGGAGCAAUGCCGCGUGAAGGAUGAAGGCCUAUGGGUUGUAAACUUCUUUUCUCAGAAAAGAAUUAUGACGGUAUCUGAGGAAUAAGCAUCGGCUAACUCUGUGCCAGCAGCCGCGGUAAGACAGAGGAUGCAAGCGUUAUCCGGAAUGAUUGGGCGUAAAGCGUCUGUAGGUUGUUUAAAAAGUAUUCUGUCAAAGAUUAGGGCUUAAACCUAGAUAGGCAGAAUAAACUUUUAAGCUAGAGUUUGGUAGAGGCAGAGGGAAUUCCCGGUGGAGCGGUGAAAUGCGUAGAUAUCGGGAGGAACACCAAAGGCGAAGGCACUCUGCUGGGCCAAUACUAACACUGAGAGACGAAAGCGAGGGGAGCAAAUGGGAUUAGAUACCCGGGUAGUCC
rnacentral:rRNA from 1 species